UCCAAUAGGUCGAGCAUGUGC
rnacentral:miRNA from 1 species